rnacentral:rRNA from 1 species
AGCAGUGGGGAAUUACACUCUGGCGCAAGCCUGAUCCAGCCAUGCCGCGUGAGUGAAGAAGGCCUUCGGGUUGUAAAGCUCUUUCAGACGGAAAGAGGACGCGCACGAUUUAAUACAUCGUGUGGAUGACGGUACCUUCGAAGAAGCACCGGCUAACUACGUGCCAGCAGCCGCGGUAAUACGUAGGGUGAACUGCGUUAAUCGGAAUUACUGGGCGUAAAGCGUG